rnacentral:rRNA from 1 species
UACGGGGGGGGCAAGCGUUGUUCGGAAUUACUGGGCGUAAAGGGCUCGUAGGUGGCCAACUAAGUCAGACGUGAAAUCCCUCGGCUUAACCGGGGAACUGCGUCUGAUACUGGAUGGCUUGAGUUUGGGAGAGGGAUGCGGAAUUCCAGGUGUAGCGGUGAAAUGCGUAGAUAUCUGGAGGAACACCGGUGGCGAAGGCGACAUCCUGGACCGGUAUUGACGCUGAGGCGCGAAAGCCAGGGGAGCAAACGGG